rnacentral:rRNA from 1 species
AACGAACGCUGGUGGCAUGCCUAACACAUGCAAGUCGAACGCCCUGGUUCGCCAGGGAGUGGCGCACGGGUGAGUAACGCGUGGGAACCUGCCCGGCAGUACGGGACAACCGCGGGAAACUGCGGCUGAUACCGUAUACGGCCUGAGGGCGAAAGAAUUUCGCUGUCGGAGGGGCCCGCGUCGGAUUAGGUAGUUGGUGGGGUAACGGCCUACCAAGCCUGCGAUCCGUAGCUGGUCUGAGAGGAUGAUCAGCCACACUGGGACUGAGACACGGCCCAGACUCCUACGGGAGGCAGCAGUGGGGAAUAUUGGACAAUGGGCGGCAAGCCUGAUCCAGCAAUGCCGCGUGAGUGAUGAAGGCCUUAGGGUUGUAAGCUCUUUCGUCCCGCGACGAUGAUGACGGUAGCGGGAGAAGAAGCCCCGGCUAACUCCGUGCCAGCAGCCGCGGUAAUACGGAGGGGGCGUAGCGUUGUUCGGAAUUACUGGGCGUAAAGGGCGCGCA